rnacentral:rRNA from 1 species
GCCUAAUACAUGCAAGUCGAACGCUUUGUGGUUCAACUGAUUUGAAGAGCUUGCUCAGAUAUGACGAUGGACAUUGCAAAGAGUGGCGAACGGGUGAGUAACACGUGGGAAACCUACCUCUUAGCAGGGGAUAACAUUUGGAAACAGAUGCUAAUACCGUAUAACAAUAGCAACCGCAUGGUUGCUACUUAAAAGAUGGUUCUGCUAUCACUAAGAGAUGGUCCCGCGGUGCAUUAGUUAGUUGGUGAGGUAAUGGCUCACCAAGACGAUGAUGCAUAGCCGAGUUGAGAGACUGAUCGGCCACAAUGGGACUGAGACACGGCCCAUACUCCUACGGGAGGCAGCAGUAGGGAAUCUUCCACAAUGGGCGAAAGCCUGAUGGAGCAACGCCGCGUGUGUGAUGAAGGGUUUCGGCU